AUUUUUAUGGGUUUUUUGCACAAUCUCUGGACUUGUUUAAUCGAUGGGUCCUGGUCCUGAGAGUAAGCACCAGAACCUAUCGAGCAGUGCCCUGGUCCUUGCUCUCGAUGUGACCACGCCCUGUGAUUCAUAUGCCUGGAAACCCAGACCUUGAGAUCUAUAGUCCGCAACCCUAGCCACUGAGCCACCCUAACAGCUAAAUAACUAUAAGAAAUGAACCUUUUGGAGAGUGUUCUAAAUUUAAGAUUGCUCCGUUUAUAGUUUGUUUUGUGAGCAGAACAUGGAGAUUUUUACGAAAAGAACAAUUAUUAAAAUAUUUUGUUUUCUUUAAGAUAUUUAAAAUGUUUAUGUAUUUUUAAGUUAAGGAAAGGCCACGUGAGCAAACUGCUCAACGGGCUCCAACGGAAUCCUUGAGACGAGAAGUUGGUAAAAUGUAGAAAAUUAAAAAGCACUGCCACGCCACGAGAAUACACAACAACGAACACAAGUAAAUAAAAGAUUGCUAAUAUUUCGCCCCGGCAUACGGGGCUUCAUCAGUGAAAAAGUUUAUCGUGGCGCGUUGCGGUGUGCCUUAUUUUCCACACCCUAAAAAUUAUUGUUUAUUCCUGCUACCUCUGACACAGCAAAAACAAAUACACUAAAUGAACAAUUCCAAUCAGUCUUUACGGAUGAAGAUAUCAAAAAUGUCCCAGCUAUAAGUAAGUUGUAUCCUGAUAUGCCUGAAAUCACUACUGUUGUGGAAGGAGUUAUUAAACAAUUCCAGAACAUAAACUCCUCAAAAUCAUUUGGUCCAGACAAACUACCUGCAACCUGGUAUCAUGCAGUUAUAUGCCCUGUAUUCAAGAAAGGUGUGAAGAGUCUUCCUGUUAAUUAUCGUACAGUUUCCUUUACUGCCACAUCAUGCAAAAUAUUGGAACACUGUAUUGUCUCUAAAAUGUGGAAUCACAUAUUAGUAAUUAUAACAUCGUCACAUCCAAACAACAUGGUUUUAGGAAAGGCAUGUCAUGUGAAACACAGUUAAUCGAGGCUAUGAAUGAAUGGACCGGUGCACUAAAUGAAGGAGGUGGCCAAGUCGACAUAAUUCUGCUCGAUUUUAGUAAAGCAUUUGAUGUAGUGCCUCGCCAGCGCCUUCUUUUCAAACUGAAUAUGUACAGGGUUACUAGUAAAACAUUAGGAUGGAUCCAGGGAUUUCUUGGAAACAGAACACAAGAAGUAGUUGUAAAUGGGUCUCACUCAUCCAAACAGCCGGUGAAAUCGGAUGUAUCUCAAGGAACAGUACUUGGUUCUUUGUUGUUCCUCUUGUACAUCAUCGAUAUAGAAGAAAAUGUCGAAAGCUCAAUUCGUCUAUUUGCUGAUGAUAGUGUACUUCAUAGAAAUAAAGACACUUCCGAAGACUCAAAAAUUCUUCAAAAAGAUCUUUUCAAUCUUCAGAAAUGGGCACACACCUGGCAAAUGGUCUUCAACGUAGAAAAAUGUAAAGUGUUGCGUAUCGCUUACAGAAAGUCUCGUGAAGUUGAUGCUGUGUAUAAGAUGUAAAAAAAGCGUCAGGUGACCCAGUAAGUCUUAAUUCUGUGACUUUGAAGAAAUCACAUCAGCUCGUUAUUUAGGUGUAAUAUUGGACCCAAAACUUAACUUCAAUGCGCAUGUAGAUGAAAUUACGGAAAAGGCUACAAAAUUAUUAAAUUUUAUGCCACAGAAACCUCCACAUGUGCUCUGCUGAAGUAAAGACUAUUGCAUAUAACUCGAUCGUUUGGCCACACCUUGGGUAUGCCUCGGUGUGUUGGAACCAUCACACAAAGUCAAAUAUUGACAAAGUGGAGGCAGUACAAAGAAAAGCGGCACGCUUUGUCCUCAACUACUAUGACUAUAGUCCAAAUACUGAUCUCACAGGAAAGAUCCAAAACACUUUGAAAUGGCUGCCAUUACAACACCCCAGAGUCAUAGAUGAUUUAUGUUUGUUUUACAAAAUUUGGAACAGUCUCGUGAAUAUCUCAUUUCCAAGCAUUGUAGCUGCAACUACUAGACACAUUCGCCGUUUCAACUACAUCCAGUCGCUGCAUUCCGAGCUUACAAAUAUCAAUUUUUUGUCCGGUCAGUUCGACUAUGGAACGUUAUCCCAGAUAAUGUCAUCAUAAAACCUUCAGUAGAUUCGCUCGAAAACGGUAUUACACAGUAGAUAGCUCCACAAGCAUGGAACAAAAACACUGCCGCAAACACUUGGGGACUCUCCAACUCCUCGUAUUAAUUAAAUAGAACACUUAUUAGCAUGUUUCUAUUUAUCCCAAAAUGCGUGUGGUGUUCGCU